AAGUUUAUGGUGUAAUGGAUAGCACAUUGGCCUACGAAGCCAAGAGUAUAGGUUCGAAUCCUAUUAGACUUAC
rnacentral:tRNA from 1 species